rnacentral:misc_RNA from 1 species
UGUUUUUCUCAUAGAACUCUUGUAGCUUUAGGGUUCUUUCGUGAUGCAAGUUCAUUUGGUUCACGUCUCUUGAAUGUCCCUACAUUAAUAAGGAGGAAGCUUGGAUAUCUAGAAUAUACCAAGGGGGCUAAUUGGCUAAUGUCGGUCUCUUCUCCCCUUUUAGAAUCGCUCUAGGGAUUAUUUGCCUUUUGACUUUUGUAAAUCGACUUCGGAUCCUUUACAGCUUUUUGUGUUCAUUCUAAGGCUUUCAAACCUUUGCACAUUUUUACUAUCUCACGCCCAAACAUGGUGCAAAACCCUUUACUCAAAGAUAAGAUCUUUGUGAAGAUGUUUUGCUCUUUGAAAGGUCUUCUCAGAACCAUUUGUUCUUUAAGAGGUCUCCAUGAAGUUGUUUUACUUAGUUCAAUGCGUAAGCUAGCUUAGUAACAACUUCAACCGACGGGCGAGAAGCAUUGUCAAACCUUCAUCUUGGCUUAUUCCUCAUUGAAAGAAAUGUCAAUCAGCCAGGUAGGGGUGUUUAUCCUAUCUAAUUGACCAUAAGUCCUUUUCAUGCUUUGGACGUCGCUGUAGGGCCCUCUCAACUUCUAUACCAUGGCUCAAAACAUUAAAAUAGAGCUGCUUACAUUGUAGUAAUUUAGAAACGCUUCCUUCUUCAUUUUAUUCAGCUCAAAUACCUUGAUUAAGCUUCAUUGGUUGCCCCAAGGAACUUUCUUAGGUACUGAAUCUUGAAAUUCCAUUGCACUGGACUCAAAUUUUUCUAAAACUUUGUGUGGUGUCUCAAUCUUGUCCAAAUAGAGCUCUCAAUGUCAUGAUCGGCCAAGUAUCCCCUCUUUUUUUCCAAUUGGCCAAAGGCUUCUCUUUUGCAUUCUUGAUUGCUCAAAAAACAUGUGAAGGCUCAAGAAUUUGGAAUCUUGCCGUGCUGAAAUCCAUUUGUUUUGAAACUUUAAACCAUGGCUUGACAUGACCAAAGAUACCUUUAACAGUGUAAAUUGGCUAGGAGUGAUUCCCUCUUCAUGGGAAUCUACCAAGGUCUUUAUAGGCCCUUCACCAAUCAUCCAAUGCACAUCUAAGGGUUUUGAGACUCUGUCCCUUCUCGCUCCGAUUUUUGAUUGCCUCAAACUUAUACCUCAUGUUGUAAUAUGGGCUUGGGACACUAAAGAGACAAGAAUUAGCCAAGAGACCCUUUGCCUCCUAUUAGUCCUACGCAAUUGGUCAAGAGUCCCUUUGGUGCCUCAUUGGAUGCUCUAGGGUGCCUCCUGGUCUCCGAGGCUCAAGACUCUAUGAAAUUGGAUUCUUUUCUCCGCGAACAUUGAACAUAUGGCAAGAUAACAUCCAAAAGCUCCCUUUGUACAGUGUUGUUAAAGGCAUCGAGGUGAGGCGCCCCUCUAGCUCCGAGGUGAGAUGCCCCUCUAGUGCCUCGCAUGGCACUACCUAGCCUUGCUUAUGGUAGGUGGUGGCCGCCCUAGCAAGAGAGGUGCUGAGCGACAAGGCACUGAAGUGACACCUCAGUGAAGAGACAUUUACUAGAAACAAAGGAGGCAAUUGAGCGGCAGAGGAAGUUAUUGAAGAAACGACAAUCUGACAAGGGUGAUGGAACAGAUGCAGAUUCAGGAGUACAAGAAGAAGAUUUUCUCAUUCAGGAUGAGAUUUUUAAAUCUCGUUUAGCAAGCAUUAAGCGUGAGGAAGAAAUUAUUUUGCGUGAGAGAGAUCGUUAUGAAUUGGAAAAGGGACGGCUCAUACGUGAAAUGAAACGAAUAAGAGACGAGGAUGGUUCCCGUUUUAAUAAUUUUCAGAUUUUGAAUCACCGAUAUGCACUCCUAAAUCUUCUUGGGAAAGGAGGAUUUAGUGAGGUUUACAAGGCUUAUGAUUUGGUAGAGCAUAGAUAUGU